UUAAUAUGAGAGUUUGAUCUUAGCUCAGGAUGAACGCUGGCGGCGUGGAUAAGGCAUGCAAGUCGAAAGGGUUUAGACCCUUGGCGAACGAGGUAGUAACAUGUAGGUACGCACCCGGAAGUCGAGGAUAACCCGCCGAAAGGCGGAGUAAUACUCGAUGGUCCCCGUGAUCCGCAAGGAUUUUACGGGGUAAAGAUUUAUCGCUUCCGGAGCGGCCUGCAGCCUAUCAGCUAGUUGGUAAGGUAAUGGCUUACCAAGGCAAUGACGGGUAGGGGAGGUGAGAGCCUGGCCCCCACCGAUGGGACUGAGACACGGCCCAUACACCUACGGGUGGCUGCAGUCGAGAAUCUUCCACAAUGGACGAAAGUCUGAUGGAGCGACGCCGCNNNNNNNNAGAAGUUUAUUGACGGUACCUCAGGAAUAAGGGGUUGCUAAACUCGUGCCAGCAGCAGCGGUAAUACGAGUGCCCCAAGCGUUAUCCGGAAUCAUUGGGCGUAAAGGGUGCGUAGGCGGUUGUGUUAGUCUUCUGUGAAAUCUCCCGGCUUAACCGGGAAUGGGCGGAGGAAACGGCACAACUUAGAGCAGGUGAGAGGUCAGUAGAACUCAUGGUGUAGGGGUGAAAUCCGUUGAUAUCAUGGGGAAUACCAAAAGCGAAGGCAGCUGACUGGCGCCUGGCUGACGCUGAGGCACGAAAGCGUGGGUAGCGAACGGGAUUAGAUACCCCGGUAGUCCACGCCCUAAACGAUGUUCUCUAGCUUUUCGGAGUAUCGACCCUCUGAGAGGCGUAGCUAACGCGUUAAGAGAACCGCCUGGGAAGUACGGCCGCAAGGCUAAAACUCAAAAGAAUAGACGGGGACUUGCACAAGCGGUGGAUCAUGUGGUUUAAUUCGACACUAAACGAAAAACCUCACCAGGGCUUGAAACUCCAACGAAGACUCGAGGAAACUUGAGUUGUCUUCACAAGAGACGGUGGAGCAGGUGAUGCAUGGCUGUCGUCAGUUCGUGGCUUGAGUUGUUCCCUUAAGUGGGGAAACGAACGCAACCUCUGUCGCGUGUUACAAGUGUCACGCGAGACUGUCCCGCUUGUCGGGAAGGAAGCGGAGAUGACGCCAAGUCAGCAUGUCCCUUUGACGCCCUGGGCUACACACAUGAUACAAUGGCCGUUACAACGGGUUGCGACGAGGAAACUCUGAGCUAAUCCUUCAAAAACGGCCCCAGUUCGGAUUGAGGUCUGCAACUCGACCUCAUGAAGUUGGAAUCGCUAGUAAUCGCGGGU
rnacentral:rRNA from 1 species